UACGGAGGGAGCUAGCGUUGUUCGGAAUUACUGGGCGUAAAGCGCACGUAGGCGGAUACUUAAGUUAGGGGUGAAAUCCCAGGGCUCAACCCUGGAACUGCCUUUAAUACUGGGUAUCUCGAGUCCGAGAGAGGUGAGUGGAAUUCCGAGUGUAGAGGUGAAAUUCGUAGAUAUUCGGAGGAACACCAGUGGCGAAGGCGGCUCACUGGCUCGGUACUGACGCUGAGGUGCGAAAGCGUGGGGAGCAAACAGG
rnacentral:rRNA from 1 species